UCAAACCUAAAUAAAACUAAACUAUAAUGAAAAAUCCAAAACUAUUACGACCUUGGUUCUAAGUAGUCUUAAAAAGUCUUAAAUUGAACUUGUAGGAACCUGUAGGAACUCUGAUAAAAGUCCACCAUCACCAUAUGUUCCACCAACAACACAAUGCUGCUGCUGAUACCUUUUACAUGUUUUUUUCUUUUUUUAUUGCAGAGUGUUUCAACGUGCCACUUGUGAAUGGCUGAUGUGUUAUCCACAAUGAAGAAACAUCCCAGGCCUGUUUUAUCAGAUUACCUCCUGAGUGUGACGGCGCUGCUAACAUGUGAUUUGGCUCAGCUGUAAUCGGCAGAUGCACUAAUGUGGAAGUCUGCCUGGGAAAAGUCGCCGUGGUUCAUUCCGUCCCAUUUGAGCCUCUCUCUGUUUGAGAUCCAGGAGGCUGAGGUUAUCCAUCACACGUGCUCGUCUGGUCGGACCCGGAGCUCAUACGUCAACGCCAGACUCGGGGAGGGGUUCCCAUCUGUGCCCCUCUCUGCCGGCAUCUCAACGAUGACAAAUGUGCCACCUGCAGUGGAAAUAUUGAGAGUUACCAGGACAUUUAUCAGGUGAAUGAAAUGGCUUCGACUAGAAGAUCUUGCAAAAAUAAGCCUGACGUAUUCUGCUACAUCUGCGGUGAAUACACCAUUGGACCUAACAGGAAUCGAGUCCCAAGUUUCAUAAAGUGUGCUUACCAAUCUUAUUUUGG